rnacentral:rRNA from 1 species
AAACCAACAGGGAUUGCCCUAGUAACGGCGAGUGAAGCGGCAACAGCUCAAAUUUGAAAUCUGGCUCUUUCAGAGUCCGAGUUGUAAUUUGCAGAGGGCGCUUUGGCUUUGGCAGCGGUCCAAGUUCCUUGGAACAGGACGUCACARAGGGUGAGAAUCCCGUACGUGGUCGCUAGCUAUUGCCGUGUAAAGCCCCUUCGACGAGUCGAGUUGUUUGGGAAUGCAGCUCUAAAUGGGAGGUAAAUUUCUUCUAAAGCUAAAUAUUGGCCAGAGACCGAUAGCGCACAAGUAGAGUGAUCGAAAGAUGAAAAGCACUUUGGAAAGAGAGUCAAACAGCACGUGAAAUUGUUGAAAGGGAAGCGCUUGCAGCCAGACUUGCUUGCAGUUGCUCAUCCGGGCUUUUGCCCGGUGCACUCUUCUGCAGGCAGGCCAGCAUCAGUUUGGGCGGUGGGAUAAAGGUCUCUGUCACGUACCAUCCUUCGGGAUGGCCAUAUAGGGGAGACGUCAUACCACCAGCCUGGACUGAGGUCCGCGCAUCUGCUAGGAUGCUGSCGUAAUGGCUGUAAGCGGCCCGUCUUGAAACACGGACCAAGGAGUCUAACAUCUAUGCGAGUGUUUGGGUGUCAAGCCCGAGCGCGUAAUGAAAGUGAACGGAGGUGGGAACCCGCAAGGGUGCACCAUCGACCGAUCCUGAAGUUUACGGAAGGAUUUGAGUAAGAGCAUGGCUGUUGGGACCCGAAAGAUGGUGAACUAUGCUUGAAUAGGGUGAAGCCAGAGGAAACUCUGGUGGAGGCUCGCAGCGGUUCUGACGUGCAAAUCGAUCGUCAAAUUUGGGCAUAGGGGCGAAAGACUAAUCGAA